AUUGAACGCUGGCGGAAUGCUUUACACAUGCAAGUCGAACGGUAGAGGGGGCAACCCUGGUGGCGAGUGGCGAACGGGUGAGUAAUACAUCGGAACGUGCCCAGUCGUGGGGGAUAACUACGCGAAAGCGUAGCUAAUACCGCAUACGAUCUACGGAUGAAAGCGGGGGACCGUAAGGCCUCGCGCGAUUGGAGCGGCCGAUGGCAGAUUAGGUAGUUGGUGGGGCAAAGGCCUACCAAGCCUGCGAUCUGUAGCUGGUCUGAGAGGACGACCGGCCACACUGGGACUGAGACACGGCCCAGACUCCUACGGGAGGAAGCAGUGGGGAAUUUUGGACAAUGGGCGCAAGCCUGAUCCAGCCAUUCCGCGUGCAGGAUGAAGGCCCUCGGGUUGUAAACUGCUUUUGUACGGAACGAAACGGUGCUUUCUAAUACAGAGCGCUAAUGACGGUACCGUAAGAAUAAGCACCGGCUAACUACGUGCCAGCCGCCGCCGUAAGAC
rnacentral:rRNA from 1 species